AAAACAAGGACGAACGCUAGCGACAGGCUUAACACAUGCAAGUCGAGGGGCAGCAUAAAAGUAGCAAUACUUUGGUGGCGACCGGCGCACGGGUGAGUAACGCGUAUGCAACCUACCUAUCAGAGGGGAAUAACCCGGCGAAAGUCGGACUAAUACCGCAUAAAACAGGGGCACCGCAUGGUGAUAUUUGUUAAAGAAAUUCGCUGAUAGAUGGGCAUGCGUUCCAUUAGGUAGUUGGUGAGGUAACGGCUCACCAAGCCGACGAUGGAUAGGGGAACUGAGAGGUUGGUCCCCCACACUGGUACUGAGACACGGACCAGACUCCUACGGGAGGCAGCAGUGAGGAAUAUUGGUCAAUGGGCGAGAGCCUGAACCAGCCAAGUCGCGUGAAGGAAGAAGGAUCUAUGGUUCGUAAACUUCUUUUGCAGGGGAAUAAAGUGCAGGACGUGUCCUGUUUUGUAUGUACCCUGAGAAUAAGGAUCGGCUAACUCCGUGC
rnacentral:rRNA from 1 species